rnacentral:rRNA from 1 species
GGAAGAUUGGGGGGCGUGCUAAUACAUGCAGUAGAACGCUGAAGAGAGGAGCUUGCUCUUCUUGGAUGAGUUGCGAACGGGUGAGUAACGCGUAGGUAACCUGCCUUGUAGCGGGGGAUAACUAUUGGAAACGAUAGCUAAUACCGCAUAACAAUGGAUGACACAUGUCAUUUAUUUGAAAGGGGCAAUUGCUCCACUACAAGAUGGACCUGCGUUGUAUUAGCUAGUAGGUGAGGUAACGGCUCACCUAGGCGACGAUACAUAGCCGACCUGAGAGGGUGAUCGGCCACACUGGGACUGAGACACGGCCCAGACUCCUACGGGAGGCAGCAGUAGGGAAUCUUCGGCAAUGGGGGCAACCCUGACCGAGCAACGCCGCGUGAGUGAAGAAGGUUUUCGGAUCGUAAAACUCUGUUGUAAGUCAAGAACGAGUGUGAGAGUGGAAAGUUCACACUGUGACGGUAGCUUACCAGAAAGGGACGGCUAACUACGUGCCAGCAGCCGCGGUAAUACGUAGGUCCCGAGCGUUGUCCGGAUUUAUUGGGCGUAAAGCGAGCGCAGGCGGUUUGAUAAGUCUGAAGUUAAAGGCUGUGGCUCAACCAUAGUUCGCUUUGGAAACUGUCAAACUUGAGUGCAGAAGGGGAGAGUGGAAUUCCAUGUGUAGCGGUGAAAUGCGUAGAUAUAUGGAGGAACACCGGUGGCGAAAGCGGCUCUCUGGUCUGUAACUGACGCUGAGGCUCGAAAGCGUGGGGAGCGAACAGGAUUAGAUACCCUGGUAGUCCACGCCGUAAACGAUGAGUGCUAGGUGUUGGAUCCUUUCCGGGAUUCAGUGCCGCAGCUAACGCAUUAAGCACUCCGCCUGGGGAGUACGACCGCAAGGUUGAAACUCAAAGGAAUUGACGGGGGCCCGCACAAGCGGUGGAGCAUGUGGUUUAAUUCGAAGCAACGCGAAGAACCUUACCAGGUCUUGACAUCCCGAUGCUAUUUCUAGAGAUAGAAAGUUACUUCGGUACAUCGGUGACAGGUGGUGCAUGGUUGUCGUCAGCUCGUGUCGUGAGAUGUUGGGUUAAGUCCCGCAACGAGCGCAACCCCUAUUGUUAGUUGCCAUCAUUCAGUUGGGCACUCUAGCGAGACUGCCGGUAAUAAACCGGAGGAAGGUGGGGAUGACGUCAAAUCAUCAUGCCCCUUAUGACCUGGGCUACACACGUGCUACAAUGGUUGGUACAACGAGUUGCGAGUCGGUGACGGCAAGCUAAUCUCUUAAAGCCAAUCUCAGUUCGGAUUGUAGGCUGCAACUCGCCUACAUGAAGUCGGAAUCGCUAGUAAUCGCGGAUCAGCACGCCGCGGUGAAUACGUUCCCGGGCCUUGUACACACCGCCCGUCACACCACGAGAGUUUGUAACACCCGAAGUCGGUGAGGUAACCUUUUGGAGCCAGCCGCCUAAGGGUGUUUGAAAGGU